CCUACGGGUGGCUGCAGUGAGGAAUAUUGCGCAAUGGGCGAAAGCCUGACGCAGCGACGCCGCGUGGGGGAAGAAGGUUUUCGGAUUGUAAACCCCUUUUAGGAGGAAAGAUGGGGUGGGUUUCCACCCGGACGGUACCUCCAGAAAAAGCCACGGCUAACUUCGUGCCAGCAGCCGCGGUAAUACGAAGGUGGCGAGCGUUGUUCGGAUUUACUGGGCGUAAAGAGCACGUAGGCGGUUUAGUAAGCCCCUUGGGAAAGCUAUGGGCUUAACCCAUAAAGGUCGAGGGGGACUGCUAAGCUAGAGGGCGGGAGAGGAGCGCGGAAUUUCCGGUGUAGCGGUGAAAUGCGUAGAUAUCGGGAAGAAGGCCGGUGGCGAAGGCGGCGCUCUGGAACGUCUCUGACGCUGAGGUGCGAAAGCGUGGGGGGCAAACAGGAUUAGAUACCCUGG
rnacentral:rRNA from 1 species